rnacentral:tRNA from 1 species
GCUGGCUCUCCAUUUUUUUUAAUUGUGGGGGAGAGCAACUGCUUUGCAUGCAGAGGGUCCCAGGUUCAAUCCCUGACAUCUCCA